CUGCCUGAACAUAAUCAGAAGGAGGAUGACUACCCCUAUUUAUAGAAAGAGCUCCAAGUAUUUUGACUCUCAAAAUCAAGUCAAUUAGUGAACCCUACAGUCACGGUUCUCACCGUAAGAGUGCGGAAAAAAAGGAACCAAAAAGGUUCUCCAUCUCUCAUUCCCUCCUUAGCAAUCAUGGAACAGAAACACAAAGAAAGUGAGGAAAGCCCAGAGUGAAGACAGGAAGAGGACCUGAGAUUAUAAGAGAGAAGGACUACAACUAUUCUUCAGGCCACUGCUAAGUAGAGGUGAAUGCUGUUCAUUCACCAGGCCUGAAUCUAAGUCCUACCUGAUCUGAAGGAUCUACUCAUCUGACCACAUCACACUGCCUCUAGUGACCAAGGACAACGUGAACCAACCUAAAGGCAUGAAGUGACUACUCCAUGAGCAAGCACCGUUACAAAUAAAGAAAUCGGAACUACAACCACUACCGCCCCCAGGUACCCACUGAUCUGUGAAAAUAGAGCUAACAGAUUUCAACCGAAGAAGGGCUGCCAGCCUCAAGUUUUCUGAUAACUUGUAGUUCCUAAAAAAAAAAAAUAAAAGCAGCUUCUCUAAGCUCACUUUUCUUCAAUCACGAAUUUAUUUUUUUAAGCAAGUUCCUCGGGUCCUAGGUAACAGAGUGCCUUCAAGCUGCUCACACCAUUCCCCGAAAAGCUUUUUUUUUCUUAUCACCGUUACUGAUAGGAAAGCCACUGAGUUCAGCACACUGCGAAAAGCAAGUCAGUUUCUUAAGUGAGAAGCUACCAAAGAUGUAGCAAAUGAAGACAAUCAACAGACAGAACGAACCUCUUCGAGAGAGAACCAUCACUAGGUGGCUUGGGGUACCACGGAGGUAGGGACAGCACGCCAAUGCUGCCCCCAGUCUUGGUUUGGGAGGACAGAACAGUAACAGCGCAGAUAGAAGCCAACCCCUACCCAUCCCCCAAAAGACUGGAAGAGGAAAAAAAAAAAAAA
rnacentral:antisense_RNA from 1 species